UACAGAGGUCUCAAGCGUUGUUCGGAUUCAUUGGGCGUAAAGGGUGCGUAGGCGGCGCGGUAAGUCGGGUGUGAAAUCUCGGGGCUUAACUCCGAAACUGCAUUCGAUACUGCCGUGCUUGAGGACUGGAGAGGAGACUGGAAUUUACGGUGUAGCAGUGAAAUGCGUAGAUAUCAGGAGGAACACCAGCGGCGAAGGCGGCGCUCUGGGCCGGAACUGACGCUGAGGAGCGAAAGCGUGGGUAGCAAACAGG
rnacentral:rRNA from 1 species